rnacentral:rRNA from 1 species
UACGUAGGGCGCAAGCGUUAUCCGGAAUUAUUGGGCGUAAAGAGCUCGUAGGCGGUUUGUCGCGUCUGCCGUGAAAAGUCCGGGGGCUCAACUCCGGAUCUGCGGUGGGUACGGGGCAGACUAGAGUGAUGUAGGGGGAGACUGGAAUUCCUGGUGUAGCGGUGAAAUGCGCAGAUAUCAGGAGGAACACCGAUGGCGAAGGCAGGUCUCUGGGCAUUAACUGACGCUGAGGAGCGAAAGCAUGGGGGAGCGAACAGG